GAUGAACAAAUUCAAGUCUCAUCGGUGGAUCACUCGGCUCGU
rnacentral:rRNA from 2 species